rnacentral:rRNA from 1 species
CCGGUUGAUCCUGCCAGAGGUUACUGCUAUCGGUGUUCGCCUAAGCCAUGCGAGUCAUAUGUUCUUCGUGAACAUGGCGUACUGCUCAGUAACACGUGGAUAACCUGCCCUUGGGACCGGCAUAACCCCGGGAAACUGGGGAUAAUUCCGGAUACCGCAUAUAUGCUGGAAUGCUUUAUGCGUAAAAUGGAUUCGUCUGCCCAAGGAUGGGUCUGCGGCCUAUCAGGUAGUAGUGGGUGUAAUGUACCUACUAGCCAACGACGGGUACGGGUUGUGAGAGCAAGAGCCCGGAGAUGGAUUCUGAGACAUGAAUCCAGGCCCUACGGGGCGCAGCAGGCGCGAAAACUUUACAAUGCGGGAAACCGUGAUAAGGGGACACCGAGUGCCAGCAUCAUAUGCUGGCUGUCCGGGUGUGUAAAAUACACCCGUUAGCAAGGGCCGGGCAAGACCGGUGCCAGCCGCCGCGGUAACACCGGCGGCCCGAGUGGUGAUCGUGAUUAUUGGGUCUAAAGGGUCCGUAGCCGGUUUGGUCAGUCCUCCGGGAAAUCUGAUAGCUCAACUAUUAGGCUUUCGGGGGAUACUGCCAGGCUUGGAACCGGGAGAGGUAAGAGGUACUACAGGGGUAGGAGUGAAAUCUUGUAAUCCCUGUGGGACCACCUGUGGCGAAAGCGUCUUACCAGAACGGGUUCGACGGUGAGGGACGAAAGCUGGGGGCACGAACCGGAUUAGAUACCCGGGUAGUCCCAGCCGUAAACGAUGCUCGCUAGGUGUCAGGCAUGGCGCGACCGUGUCUGGUGCCGCAGGGAAGCCGUGAAGCGAGCCACCUGGGAAGUACGGCCGCAAGGCUGAAACUUAAAGGAAUUGGCGG